CUAUAAACGGGAUUGAAAUGAAAAUCCUGUUUGUUGUGAAGUACAAAAAGAUUGGAAUGUAAAGCCAGGCUAACU
rnacentral:sRNA from 1 species